AGAGUUUGAUCCUGGCUCAGGAUGAACGCUUGCGGCGUGCCUAACACAUGCAAGUCGAACGAGAAGCCUUGGAUUCGUCUGAGGUGGACAGUGGCGCACGGGUGAGUAACACGUUGGUGACCUGCCCCAAAGAGGAGGAUAACCGUUGGAAACGGCGGCUAAUACUCCAUGUGGUCUUCGGUUUUAGAAUCCGUUGAUUAAAGCUCCGGCGCUUUGGGAGGGGCCUGCGGCCCAUCAGCUAGUUGGUAGGGUAACGGCCUACCAAGGCAAGGACGGGUAGGGGGCCUGAGAGGGUGAUCCCCCACACUGGCACUGAGACACGGGCCAGACUCCUGCGGGAGGCAGCAGUGAGGAAUAUUGCGCAAUGGACGAAAGUCAGACGCAGCAACGCCGCGUGGGCGAUGAAGGUUUUCGGAUCGUAAAGCCCUUUUCUGGGGAAAUAGAAAGGAAGGUACCCCAGGAAUAAGAGUCGGCUAACUACGUGCCAGCAGCCGCGGUAAAACGUAGGACUCGAGCGUUAUCCGGAUUUACUGGGCGUAAAGCGCGUGCAGGCGGUUCGGUAAGUUGGACGUUAAAGCUCCCGGCUCAACUGGGAGAGGCCGUUCAAUACUGCCGGGCUAGAGGACGACAGAGGAGAGUGGAAUUCCCGGUGUAGUGGUGAAAUGCGUAGAUAUCGGGAGGAACACCAGUGGCGAAGGCGGCUCUCUGGGUCGUUUCUGACGCUCAGACGCGAAAGCGUGGGUAGCGAACGGGAUUAGAAACCCCGGUAGUCCACGCCGUAAACGAUGCAUACUGGGUGUUGGGGGGUUCAAUCCCUUCAGCGCCGAAGCUAACGCGUUAAGUAUGCCGCCUGGGGACUACGGCCGCAAGGCUAAAACUCAAAGGAAUUGACGGGGGCCCGCACAAGCAGCGGAGCGUGUGGUUUAAUUCGAGGCUACACGAAGAACCUUACCUGGGCUUGACAUAUACGUGGUAGGAAUCCGAAAGGUGACCGACCCUUCGGGGAGCGUAUACAGGUGCUGCAUGGCUGUCGUCAGCUCGUGCCGUGAGGUGUUCGGUUAAGUCCGGUAACGAGCGCAACCCUUGCUACUAGUUACAAGUGUCUAGUGGGACUGCCCGUAAAAAGCGGGAGGAAGGUGGGGAUGACGUCAAGUCAGCAUGGCCUUUAUGUCCAGGGCUACACACACGCUACAAUGGCCGGUACAAUGGGUAGCCAAACCGCGAGGUGGAGCCAAUCCUCCAAAGCCGGUCUCAGUUCAGAUUGUAGGCUGCAACCCGCCUGCAUGAAGUCGGAGUUGCUAGUAACCGCAGGUCAGCUAUACUGCGGUGAAUACGUUCCCGGGCCUUGUACACACCGCCCGUCACGUCAUGGGAGCUGGUCACGCCUGAAGUCGGUGAGCUAACCUAACGGAGGCAGCCGCCUAAGGCAGGGCCGGUGACUGGGACGAAGUCGUAACAAGGUAACC
rnacentral:rRNA from 1 species